rnacentral:rRNA from 1 species
CCUACGGGCGGCAGCAGUGGGGAAUAUUGGACAAUGGGCGAAAGCCUGAUCCAGCCAUGCCGCGUGUGUGAAGAAGGCCUUCGGGUUGUAAAGCACUUUCAGUGGGGAAGAAAGCCUUGGGGCUAAUACCCUCGAGGAAGGACAUCACCCACAGAAGAAGCACCGGCUAACUCCGUGCCAGCAGCCGCGGUAAUACGGAGGGUGCGAGCGUUAAUCGGAAUUACUGGGCGUAAAGCGCGCGUAGGCGGUCUGAUAAGCCGGUUGUGAAAGCCCCGGGCUCAACCUGGGAACGGCAUCCGGAACUGUCAGGCUAGAGUGCAGGAGAGGAAGGUAGAAUUCCCGGUGUAGCGGUGAAAUGCGUAGAGAUCGGGAGGAAUACCAGUGGCGAAGGCGGCCUUCUGGACUGACACUGACGCUGAGGUGCGAAAGCGUGGGUGGCAAACAGGAUUAGAUACCCCAGUAGUC